UAGUGGCGAACGGGUGAGUAACACGUGGGCAAUCUGCCCUUCACUCUGGGACAAGCCCUGGAAACGGGGUCUAAUACCGGAUAAUACCUGCCUGGGCAUCUGGGUGGGUUGAAAGCUCCGGCGGUGAAGGAUGAGCCCGCGGCCCUAUCAGCUUGUUGGUGAGGUAGUGGCUCACCAAGGCGACGACGGGUAGCCGGCCUGAGAGGGCGACCGGCCACACUGGGACUGAGACACGGCCCAGACUCCUACGGGAGGCAGCAGUGGGGAAUAUUGCACAAUGGGCGAAAGCCUGAUGCAGCGACGCCGCGUGAGGGAUGACGGCCUUCGGGUUGUAAACCUCUUUCAGCAGGGAAGAAGCGAGAGUGACGGUACCUGCAGAAGAAGCGCCGGCUAACUACGUGCCAGCAGCCGCGGUAAUACGUAGGGCGCAAGCGUUGUCCGGAAUUAUUGGGCGUAAAGAGCUCGUAGGCGGCUUGUCACGUCGGGUGUGAAAGCCCGGGGCUUAACCCCGGGUCUGCAUUCGAUACGGGCUAGCUAGAGUGNGGNAGGGGAGAUCGGAAUUNCU
rnacentral:rRNA from 1 species